rnacentral:rRNA from 1 species
UCCAGACUCCUACGGGAGGCAGCAGUGGGGGAUAUUGCACAAUGGGGGAAACCCUGAUGCAGCGACGCCGCGUGGGUGAAGAAGCGCCUCGACGCGUAAAGCCCUGUCAGCAGGGAAGAAAAUGACGGUACCUGAAGAAGAAGCCCCGGCUAACUACGUGCCAGCAGCCGCGGUAAUACGUAGGGGGCAAGCGUUAUCCGGAUUUACUGGGUGUAAAGGGGGCGCAGACGGCGAUGCAAGCCAGGAGUGAAAGCCCGGGGCCCAACCCCGGGACUGCUCUUGGAACUGCGUGGCUGGAGUGCAGGAGGGGCAGGCGGAAUUCCUGGUGUAGCGGUGAAAUGCGUAGAUAUCAGGAGGAACACCGGUGGCGAAGGCGGCCUGCUGGACUGCAACUGACGUUGAGGCCCGAAAGCGUGGGGAGCAAACAGGAUUAGAUACCCCGGUA